GUGGUGGUGGAGGUGGUGGAGGUGGGUGGGGGUGGGCAUUUAUUUGAGCAAUAACGAGGGUUUCUCAAGUGGGAGGAAAAUAAAAAUGUCUCCUGCUGAGUCCUAGAUUUGCCGCAGAACAGCAGCAGAAGCAGCCCCAUCAGUCUCCCCGACCCCUGACUGGACUCUAUACCCCCGGGGCCAACGCUCCCAAUUCAGAGUCAGUCUCCAACCCCUGCAACAUGAGCUCAUGGAACCUGCUAAGUUCAUGGAAUAAGCUCAUGGAACUUAUUUUAGGACGUUAUUUCUGUAUGUACCUUCUCAAGGCCAUGAGUGCCCCGGGCAGGAGUCAGGCCAUACACCUCACCGGAUGGGAAGUGCCUAUCGCGGGCGCUGGAGAUCAGGAGGCGUCUGAUGUCCAUGGAGCUACUGGAGCCCAGGGGAGGAUCCCAGAUUCCUGGGCGGUGUUGUGGAGCACAGCCCUCAUCUGGCCUAGGUUUGACAGUCAUGCAAGUGAACAAUACGUUCUUAUUUUG
rnacentral:lncRNA from 10 species